UUACGGCGAUAUUACGUCGAACCACCGGUUGUUGCCCGGUCACAGACGUUAAGCAACGUUGAGCCUGGUCAGUACUCAGAUGGGUGACGUCUGGGGAAUAGUGGGUGAUGUAAG